rnacentral:rRNA from 1 species
CGGCCGACUCGCUUGCUGAGUCAGUAAGUGGCGCACGGGUGAGUAACGCGUGGGUAAUCUACCCUUGAAUUGGGGAUAACAUUGCGAAAGCGAUGCUAAUACCGGAUAACAUCUCUGAAACUCCGGUUUCUGAGAUCAAAGGUGGCCUCUACAUGUAAGCUACUGUUUGAGGAUGAGCCCGCGUACCAUUAGCUUGUUGGUAGGGUAAUGGCCUACCAAGGCCGCGAUGGUUAGCUGGUCUGAGAGGAUGAUCAGCCACACUGGAACUGACACACGGUCCAGACUCCUACGGGAGGCAGCAGUGAGGAAUUUUGCGCAAUGGGGGAAACCCUGACGCAGCAACGCCGCGUGAGUGAUGAAGGCUUUCGGGUCGUAAAGCUCUGUCAAGUGGGAAGAACCCACGUGGUGCUAAUAUCACCAUGUGCUGACGGUACCACUGAAGGAAGCACCGGCUAACUCCGUGCCAGCAGCCGCGGUAAUACGGGGGGUGCAAGCGUUAUUCGGAAUUACUGGGCGUAAAGAGCGCGUAGGCGGUCUCUUAAGUCAGGUGUGAAAGCCCGGGGCUCAACCCCGGAAGUGCACUUGAAACUAAGAGACUUGAGUAUGGGAGAGGGAAGUGGAAUUCCUGGUGUAGCGGUGAAAUGCGUAGA